GCCAGCGUAGCUCAGGGGUAGAGCAACUGAUUCGUAAUCAGUAGGUCCGGGGUUCAAUUCCCCGCGCUGGCUCCA
rnacentral:tRNA from 1 species